AUUCACAUCACCUGGGAUCUUAUUAAAAUGCAGAUUUUGAUUCAGAAAGUCUGAGUGUGGGGCCUGAGCUUCUGCAUUUUUAACUAGCUCCCAGGUGAUUCUACU
rnacentral:pre_miRNA from 1 species